GUGAGGAAUAUUGGUCAAUGGGCGGGAGCCUGAACCAGCCAAGUCGCGUGAAGGAAGAAGGAUCUAUGGUUCGUAAACUUCUUUUGCAGGGGAAUAAAGUGCAGGACGUGUCCUGGUUUGUAUGUACCCUGAGAAUAAGGAUCGGCUAACUCCGUGCCAGCAGCCGCGGUAAUACGGAGGAUCCGACCGUUAUCCGGAUGUAUUGGGUUUAAAGGGGUCGUCGGUGGUUUGAUAAGUCAGCGGUGAAAGUUUGCAGCUUAACUGUAAAAUUGCCGUUGAAACUGUAGAUCUUGAGUGCAAAUGAGGUAAGCGGAAUGUGUUGUGUAGCGGUGAAAUGCUUAGAUAUAACACAGAACACCGAUUGCGAAGGCAGCUUACUGGACUGUAACUGACGCUGAGGCGCGAAAGUGUGGGGAGCAAACAGGAUUAGAUACCCCUGUAGUCC
rnacentral:rRNA from 1 species